rnacentral:rRNA from 1 species
AGCGAACGCUGGCGGCAGGCCUAACACAUGCAAGUCGAACGAAGUCUUCGGACUUAGUGGCGGACGGGUGAGUAACACGUGGGAACGUGCCUUUAGGUUCGGAAUAACUCAGGGAAACUUGUGCUAAUACCGAAUGUGCCCUUCGGGGGAAAGAUUUAUCGCCUUUAGAGCGGCCCGCGUCUGAUUAGCUAGUUGGUGAGGUAAUGGCUCACCAAGGCUACGAUCAGUAGCUGGUCUGAGAGGAUGAUCAGCCACAUUGGGACUGAGACACGGCCCAAACUCCUACGGGAGGCAGCAGUGGGGAAUCUUGCGCAAUGGGCGAAAGCCUGACGCAGCCAUGCCGCGUGAAUGAUGAAGGUCUUAGGAUUGUAUAAUUCUUUCACCGGGGACGAUAAUGACGGUACCCGGAGAAGAAGCCCCGGCUAACUCCGUGCCAGCCGCCGCCGUAAUAC